ACCCAGGCCCUCACCCAUGCUAAUCCUGUGUUCACCGCUGAGCUAGAAGGGGCCUUGUGUCUCUGGGAUGCUUCAGGUGGCUCAAAGCUCCCUGUCUUGGAAAUCAGGAAUCUGCUUUCCAUGUGGCUCCCAUAUGCAGCUGCAGAAUCCAGUCUGGGAAAGGUGCAGGCCGGUACCAGAUGCCCUUCCUCGGUGUCUCAGUUCUGCACCUGUGAAGUCGCCUCACCGUGUAAGGCUGCCGAGAUCCGCGACAGUUCUGUGACAGGCAGGAAGGACAGAGGAGAGCUUUUGGAGCCUGGGGAGGAAAUCGGAAACCUGCUGGGGCCUGCUUGAAUCUUCACACCUUUACAAAGGGUGAGAACUCACACCUGCAAAAAAGCAAACAACCAACCCAACACCGUUUAAAGAGAAAAAACAAGUGCCAUUUGAAGGAGCAGCACAGCAAAUUGAGGAGUUUGGAGAGGAGAAGAAGCAUCAGCUAUUCUCAGAAAUUUCUUCAAAAUCAUCCUCCUUCGCCAGCCUCUUCCCUCCUUAGAAUGCACAUAUUAUCUCAACCUAGGGCCAAGGCAAUGUGAAGAUGAAAAAUAAUUUGAGGGAUAAAACGUAUUACGAAUGGUACAUUCUAUUCCCACUGAGGUUUACCAUUAUUUAAUCAAUUUCUAGAGUUUUCAAGUACAUUUCAAAGCCCUGAAUUGUUGGAAAUACUCCUGAAAAAGUUGCACAUGGAGAAGUACUUAUUAUAGGUGAGGUGUUGUACAAUCC